rnacentral:rRNA from 1 species
CGUGUACGUACAAGCAGUGGGAGCACAGAGCAAUCUGUGUGACUGCGUACCUUUUGUAUAAUGGGUCAGCGACUUAUAUUCUGUAGCAAGGUUAACCGAAUAGGGGAGCCGAAGGGAAACCGAGUCUUAACUGGGCGUUAAGUUGCAGGGUAUAGACCCGAAACCCGGUGAUCUAGCCAUGGGCAGGUUGAAGGUUGGGUAACACUAACUGGAGGACCGAACCGACUAAUGUUGAAAAAUUAGCGGAUGACUUGUGGCUGGGGGUGAAAGGCCAAUCAAACCGGGAGAUAGCUGGUUCUCCCCGAAAGCUAUUUAGGUAGCGCCUCGUGAAUUCAUCUCCGGGGGUAGAGCACUGUUUCGGCAAGGGGGUCAUCCCGACUUACCAACCCGAUGCAAACUGCGAAUACCGGAGAAUGUUAUCACGGGAGACACACGGCGGGUGCUAACGUCCGUCGUGAAGAGGGAAACAACCCAGACCGCCAGCUAAGGUCCCAAAGUCAUGGUUAAGUGGGAAACGAUGUGGGAAGGCCCAGACAGCCAGGAUGUUGGCUUAGAAGCAGCCAUCAUUUAAAGAAAGCGUAAUAGCUCACUGGUCGAGUCGGCCUGCGCGGAAGAUGUAACGGGGCUAAACCAUGCACCGAAGCUGCGGCAGCGACGCUGAUGCGUUGUUGGGUAGGGGAGCGUUCUGUAAGCCUGUGAAGGUGUGCUGUGAGGCAUGCUGGAGGUAUCAGAAGUGCGAAUGCUGACAUAAGUAACGAUAAAGCGGGUGAAAAGCCCGCUCGCCGGAAGACCAAGGGUUCCUGUCCAACGUUAAUCGGGGCAGGGUGAGUCGACCCCUAAGGCGAGGCCGAAAGGCGUAGUCGAUGGGAAACAGGUUAAUAUUCCUGUACUUGGUGUUACUGCGAAGGGGGGACGGAGAAGGCUAUGUUGGCCGGGCGACGGUUGUCCCGGUUUAAGCGUGUAGGCUGGUUUUCCAGGCAAAUCCGGAAAACUAAGGCUGAGGCGUGAUGACGAGGCACUACGGUGCUGAAGCAACAAAUGCCCUGCUUCCAGGAAAAGCCUCUAAGCAUCAGGUAACAUCAAAUCGUACCCCAAACCGACACAGGUGGUCAGGUAGAGAAUACCAAGGCGCUUGAGAGAACUCGGGUGAAGGAACUAGGCAAAAUGGUGCCGUAACUUCGGGAGAAGGCACGCUGAUAUGUAGGUGAAGUCCCUCGCGGAUGGAGCUGAAAUCAGUCGAAGAUACCAGCUGGCUGCAACUGUUUAUUAAAAACACAGCACUGUGCAAACACGAAAGUGGACGUAUACGGUGUGACGCCUGCCCGGUGCCGGAAGGUUAAUUGAUGGGGUCAGCGCAAGCGAAGCUCUUGAUCGAAGCCCCGGUAAACGGCGGCCGUAACUAUAACGGUCCUAAGGUAGCGAAAUUCCUUGUCGGGUAAGUUCCGACCUGCACGAAUGGCGUAAUGAUGGCCAGGCUGUCUCCACCCGAGACUCAGUGAAAUUGAACUCGCUGUGAAGAUGCAGUGUACCCGCGGCAAGACGGAAAGACCCCGUGAACCUUUACUAUAGCUUGACACUGAACAUUGAGCCUUGAUGUGUAGGAUAGGUGGGAGGCUUUGAAGUGUGGACGCCAGUCUGCAUGGAGCCGACCUUGAAAUACCACCCUUUAAUGUUUGAUGUUCUAACGUUGACCCGUAAUCCGGGUUGCGGACAGUGUCUGGUGGGUAGUUUGACUGGGGCGGUCUCCUCCUAAAGAGUAACGGAGGAGCACGAAGGUUGGCUAAUCCUGGUCGGACAUCAGGAGGUUAGUGCAAUGGCAUAAGCCAGCUUGACUGCGAGCGUGACGGCGCGAGCAGGUGCGAAAGCAGGUCAUAGUGAUCCGGUGGUUCUGAAUGGAAGGGCCAUCGCUCAACGGAUAAAAGGUACUCCGGGGAUAACAGGCUGAUACCGCCCAAGAGUUCAUAUCGACGGCGGUGUUUGGCACCUCGAUGUCGGCUCAUCACAUCCUGGGGCUGAAGUAGGUCCCAAGGGUAUGGCUGUUCGCCAUUUAAAGUGGUACGCGAGCUGGGUUUAGAACGUCGUGAGACAGUUCGGUCCCUAUCUGCCGUGGGCGCUGGAGAACUGAGGGGGGCUGCUCCUAGUACGAGAGGACCGGAGUGGACGCAUCACUGGUGUUCGGGUUGUCAUGCCAAUGGCACUGCCCGGUAGCUAAAUGCGGAAGAGAUAAGUGCUGAAAGCAUCUAAGCACGAAACUUGCCCCGAGAUGAGUUCUCCCUGACUCCUUGAGAGUCCUGAAGGAACGUUGAAG